GAUGAACGCUGGCGGCGUGCCUAAUACAUGCAAGUCGAGCGAACAGACGAGGAGCUUGCUCCUCUGACGUUAGCGGCGGACGGGUGAGUAACACGUGGAUAACCUACCUAUAAGACUGGGAUAACUUCGGGAAACCGGAGCUAAUACCGGAUAACAUGUUGAACCGCAUGGUUCAACAGUGAAAGACGGUCUUGCUGUCACUUAUAGAUGGAUCCGCGCCGCAUUAGCUAGUUGGUAAGGUAACGGCUUACCAAGGCAACGAUGCGUAGCCGACCUGAGAGGGUGAUCGGCCACACUGGAACUGAGACGCGGUCCAGACUCCUACGGGAGGCAGCAGUAGGGAAUCUUCCGCAAUGGGCGAAAGCCUGACGGAGCAACGCCGCGUGAGUGAAGAAGGUCUUCGGAUCGUAAAACUCUGUUAUUAGGGAAGAACAAAUGUGUAAGUAACUAUGCACGUCUUGAUGGUACCUAAUCAGAAAGCCACGGCUAACUACGUG
rnacentral:rRNA from 1 species